GAUGAACGCUGGCGGCGUGCCUAAUACAUGCAAGUCGAGCGAACAGAUGAGGAUCUUGCUCCUCUGCCGUUAGCGGCGGACGGGUGAGUAACACGUGGAUAACCUACCUAUAAGACUGGGAUCACUUCGGGAAACCGGAGCUAAUACCGGAUAAUAUAUUGAACCGCAUGGUUCAAUAGUGAAAGACGGUUUUGCUGUCACUAAUAGAUGGAUCCGCGCCGCAUUAGCUAGUUGGUAAGGUAACGGCUUACCAAGGCAACGAUGCGUAGCCGACCUGAGAGGGUGAUCAGCCACACUGGAACUGAGACACGGUCCAGACUCCUACGGGAGGCAGCAGUAGGGAAUCUUCCGCAAUGGGCGAAAGCCUGACGGAGCAACGCCGCGUGAGUGAUGAAGGUCUUCGGAUCGUAAAACUCUGUUAUUAGGGAAGAACAAAUGUGUAAGUAACUAUGCACGUCUUGACGGUACCUAAUCAGAAAGCCACGGCUAACUACGUG
rnacentral:rRNA from 1 species